GGCCCCAUCGUCUAACGGUUAGGACACGACCCUCUCAAGGUUGAAAUAGGGGUUCGAUUCCCCUUGGGGCUA
rnacentral:tRNA from 1 species